UCCCGAGCGUUNUCCGGAUUUAUUGGGCGUAAAGGGAGCGCAGGCGNUCAGGAAAGUCUGGAGUAAAAGGCUAUGGNUCAACCAUAGUGUGCUCUGGAAACUNUCUGACUUGAGUGCAGAAGGGGAGAGUGGAAUUCCAUGUGUAGCGGUGAAAUGCGUAGAUAUAUGGAGGAACACCAGUGGCGAAAGCGGCUCUCUGGUCUGUCACUGACGCUGAGGCUCGAAAGCGUGGGUAGCGAACAGGAUUAGAUACCCUGGUAGUCCACGCCGUAAACGAUGAGUGCUAGGUGUUAGGCCCUUUCCGGGGCUUAGUGCCGGAGCUAACGCAAUAAGCACUCCGCCUGGGGAGUACGACCGCAAGGUUGAAACUCAAAGGAAUUGACGGGGGCCCGCACAAGCGGUGGAGCAUGUGGUUUAAUUCGAAGCAACGCGAAGAACCUUACCAGGUCUUGACAUCCCGAUGCUAUUCUUAGAGAUAGGAAGUUACUUCGGUACAUCGGAGACAGGUGGUGCAUGGUUGUCGUCAGCUCGUGUCGUGAGAUGUUGGGUUAAGUCCCGCAACGAGCGCAACCCUUAUUGUUAGUUGCCAUCAUUAAGUUGGGCACUCUAGCGAGACUGCCGGUAAUAAACCGGAGGAAGGUGGGGAUGACGUCAAAUCAUCAUGCCCCUUAUGACCUGGGCUACACACGUGCUACAAUGGUCGGUACAACGAGUUGCGAGCCGGUGACGGCAAGCUAAUCUCUGAAAGCCGAUCUCAGUUCGGAUUGGAGGCUGCAACUCGCCUCCAUGAAGUCGGAAUCGCUAGUAAUCGCGGAUCAGCACGCCGCGGUGAAUACGUUCCCGGGCCUUGUACACACCGC
rnacentral:rRNA from 1 species